GGGUGAUUAGCUCAGCUGGGAGGGGGGUCGGCGGUUCGAUCCCGUCAUCACCCACCA
rnacentral:tRNA from 1 species